rnacentral:rRNA from 1 species
GGAGGAGAGCUUGCUCUCCAAAGUUAGCGGCGGACGGGUGAGUAACACGUGGGCGACCUGCCCGUAAGACUGGGAUAACCCCGGGAAACCGGAGCUAAUACCAGAUAGGAUUUUGGGUUGCAUGACCUGAAAUGGAAAGGCGGCUUCGGCUGUCACUUACGGAUGGGCCCGCGGCGCAUUAGCUAGUUGGUAGGGUAACGGCCUACCAAGGCGACGAUGCGUAGCCGACCUGAGAGGGUGACCGGCCACACUGGGACUGAGACACGGCCCAGACUCCUACGGGAGGCAGCAGUAGGGAAUUUUCGUCAAUGGGCGCAAGCCUGAACGAGCAACGCCGCGUGAGUGAGGACGGCUUUCGGGUUGUAAAGCUCUGUUCUCUGGGAAGAACGGCAGAAGGGAUAAUACCCCUUUUGUAUGACGGUACCAGAGAAGAAAGCCCCGGCUAACUACGUGCCAGCAGCCGCGGUAAUACGUAGGGGGCAAGCGUUGUCCGGAAUUAUUGGGCGUAAAGCGCGCGCAGGCGGCCUGUUAAGUCGGAUGUGAAAGGCUACGGCUCAACCGUAGAGGUGCAUCCGAAACUGGCGGGCUUGAGUGCAGGAGAGG